CCUACGGGUGGCAGCAGUGGGGAAUAUUGGACAAUGGGCGCAAGCCUGAUCCAGCUAUUCCGCGUGUGGGAUGACGGCCUUCGGGUUGUAAACCCCUUUUGUAGAGAACGAAAAGUCUGUUGAUAAUACCGAUAGCUGAUGCCGGUUAUCUACGAAUAAGCACCGGCUAACUACGUGCCAGCAGCCGCGGUAAUACGUAGGGUGCGAGAGUGAAUCGGAAUUACUGGGCGUAAAGGGUGUGCAGGCGGUGUUGCAAGAUGGAUGUGAAAGCCCCGGGCUUAACCUGGGAAAUGCAUACAGGACUGCAUGACUAGAGGGCGUGAGAGGUGGGUGGAAUUCCAGGUGUAGCAGUGAAAUGCGUAGAUAUUUGGAAGAACACCGAUGGCGAAGGCAGCCCCCUGGGACGCAACUGACGCUCAUGCACGAAAGCGUGGGGAGCAAACAGGAUUAGAUACCCGGGUAGUC
rnacentral:rRNA from 1 species